ACACCAAUCUGCACCCCUGUGUGCCAUCCCAUUUAGCGCCUGGGCUUUUAACACAUUGUGAUACGGCUAUUAUUAGAAGCGAUGGAUUAUCAAUCAGGAAUUAAUCCUGAUUGACGUGUUUUCCUCAACCGGAAAAGGACAACACUCAAAGCUGGACUGUUUGUUUUCAUCUGUCUGAUGAGAGGAGAUGUUUCUUUCUUUUCUCACCUGCAGGAGGUGACAUGAGAGAGGAGAGGAUUGUCCUUUUUUUCCACUUUCUGUGAUCAAACCACUCCUUCUACCACCUUGAGGAUGUGAGGAGACCACUGAGGAAGACAUCCAUUCAUUUGGCUCCUUCAGUCAAUCAUUUUCCGCCCUCGUCCUCGCCUCUUUGCCUGACUGGCUGCUGAGCUGACUGACUGCUUGGAUGGUUGGCUCCCUCUCUCUCUGGGCUCUGGCAGUUCACUCACACAGUGCACGAGCUUCGCUGAGGCAGGAGUGGAGAGAGACUGUCGGGCUGCUCAGGGCUUGGAAAAGUGGGAUCUCUGCUAGAUUUCUCUGUCUGUCUGUUGUGGUGGGCUGUUAGAUGAGAGCAGGGGAAAUCUCUGUCCAUCUCUCCUCCGGCACAGACCACUGACCGUCACUACUGUGCUGCAUCCAUGACUUUACAUACCUGGCUGGUGUAUGGGUUUGGAUUUAUCUUGGUUUGGACACUCUGCUUGGCACAAGUCCAGGGGCUGCAGUGCUAUGGCUGCAACAUCAUCCAGGGUCAGAGAUACGUGGACGUGGGCUGCUCCAACCCCGAGGUCAUCACCUGCACCCACUCACACAAGGGCUUCAAACACCGCUUCUGCAUCAAGACAGAGAGCACGGCUCUCGGUAUCGUCCUGACCAGCGGUUGUGCUACGUCCAGACACUGCCAGCAACAAGAGCUGCCAGGGGUGCGAAUCCACUGCUGUGACUCAGACCUAUGUAACAGCACCCCCCUCUGGCAUCCCAGCACACUCCACUACAUCUGUGCGAUGUUCAGCCUCCUGCUGCUGAGGAUGUGGUUGUGAUGGGACCACAACCAAAACACCAGUGGACUAUUCUCUUAGCUGCUUAGGAGUUUUGCUCGGUGUGGAGUUCCUGGUGAGCACCCUGGAACAGCUUUGGUCACACUGUUAGCUUGGACUCGCGAUGAGAGCGAAGGUUAAAUAGCCCUGUGAAUAAGUUCGAUGAAAAUAAUGACGAAGCAGCUUGCAGUCAUCAGUGAAUUCAUUGUGCCCAUCCACUCAUUCAAAUAUAGCUUGAAGUAUGCAGCAUCUGUUGCCAUGACAGCAUUAUCUUUGUUCGCAUCAUCAUGUCAGUUCAUUAAAAGUUUUCACCUUAUAUGAGCAACUGCAGAAACACACUGACUUCAGUUUUAUGGAAACACAUUCCUUUUCUCUGCUGAGGCGUUCACUAUCUUUUUUAGGAUCAGAUCUUCCUGUGGUUUGUUAUUUUAAAGUUACGGGCUGUUUACUUUGCAAAAUGAAAGAUAUUUUUUUUAGUUUGCUGUGCAGUCCUCCAGGCCAGACUCUGGAAAGCACACUGCAUGUGGUUAUUCUAUGUAUGACUGUAAGUAAUAUUGUUCAGUGGAAGCAUGUAAUGUUGUGAAUUAUUGUAUUAAAAUGUUUCAUACUUUUCAAAAGAAAA